rnacentral:tRNA from 1 species
GCCAUUAUUGCUCAGUGGUUAGAGUGUUGGCCUGUGCAGCAAAAUGUCAUGGGUUCAAUUCCCAGUCAAGGGCA